rnacentral:rRNA from 1 species
CUUUCUUUGCUGGCGACCGGCGCACGGGUGAGUAACGCGUAUCCAACCUGCCCUUUACUCGGGGAUAGCCUUUCGAAAGAAAGAUUAAUACCCGAUAGCAUAAUGAUUCCGCAUGGUUUCAUUAUUAAAGGAUUCCGGUAAAGGAUGGGGAUGCGUUCCAUUAGGUUGUUGGUGAGGUAACGGCUUACCAAGCCUUCGAUGGAUAGGGGUUCUGAGAGGAAGGUCCCCCACAUUGGAACUGAGACACGGUCCAA